GAAGAAUAUACAACUAUGUACCAGGGGGCUUUGGGGAGAAAAAGGAAAAAAAAAAAUCUUAAAAAAAAAAAAAAUGAACCUCAAGCAAAUAACCUCACUCCUUUGAUGAGCUCGACUUUCACUGUAUGGAAUAUUGUUCUAGAAAGAGGGCCGUCAUGAACAACUUGGAAAUUUUUUUAGUGAGACAGUAAUUUUGCCAAGGGUUUGUAGGGAGAUGAAGAAGGAAGAAGAGGUGAUAAAAUUCAUUACAAUUAAAAGCUGGCCCAUUUGAAGGGCUGCAAAAUUCACAAGUCCCUUGUUAUCCCAGUUAUUGGAGCUACCCCAAAGCUCUAAAAUUUCAUAGAGCUAGGAAGUUGAUUGAACAUUUGAAGAAUUAGGUAUUUAGGUAUCAGGAGUUAGGUAAGCAUGGUCAUGCCCUGUUGUAAAUAUUGGACAACGUGUAAAUGAUAUCUGAAGGCUUGGUGACAGACAUCAUAAACUCUGUCUUAUCAGUGGUCUGGUUUCUUUUUUGAGCUCCAGCCUGGGACCCUUUUCUGCUGGGAACCACUUAUUCCUGGCUCUGCUGAUCUUUGGAUUUCCCCAGCCCUUCAGUCUCUUUCAGUUUUGAAAUGAAACCUACCCCAGAGGGCGAGGUCAGGUACUGAGAGGACUUUGACAGCUCACACCAGCUUGUUUUCUUUCCGGAGCCGUCUGCAUGGCUUGAUAAGCAGCGUGUACAUCCAUGCCCGGGAUCCGAACCAGUGAACCCCAGGCUGCUGAAGCGGAGUGCACAAACUUAACUGCUAUGCCACUGGGCCAGCCCCUCAAGGAUGUUGGUACAAAUUGCCCAAUUGUCUUCCAGAAAAGAUGUAUCAACUUAGACUCUCACCACCAGUCCUGUGAGAGUAUCUCUUUCACUACAUCCUUCCCAACACAAGGAUGAACUUUGAAGUCAUUGUGCCAAGUCCUGCUUGUUCCUUUGGACUACACAGUGGGAGCUGGAAACAUGGGUGACCCCAGUAGGGGCUUUUGUAUUCAUAAGCACCAGGCUUACGAAUACAAACACAGCAAGUCCCAGGAGCUGGUUUUGGUGGGGCUGGACUUCUCCUCCAUGCAGAAUCACAUGGCCUCUUUAGGAAGAAGCCCCUCGCCGCCAUUGACCUCCACUUGGGGCAUCCUCCUGUCUCCAGUCCAAAGACAAUCCUAUGGACCUCAGAGCUCUUGUGUCUCUGCUGCUGCAGCACCCAUCCAUAUGUGCCCCACUGUGGCCGAGCCAGCCUGUACUGGGGUGUUCCUGUCCAUCUUGCAGGGGACUCUGCCUCCAGCCAGUGCCCCCUCCAAGCCUGGUCUCCUCUAAGGAUUUCCUGUGGGUUAGCUCUGGGGAUCUUUUCUUAAUCUGUUCCUACAUGUGUUAUUACAGAAAGAAUUAUUCAUAAUUGCCAGCAUUGUGAUGGCUUCUUCCUAGUUUCUUUUGAGCCUGCAUGUUUUUCCCUACUUGACAUUUUCUAGGUUCUCUCCUACUUAAGUGACUUCUUCAGGAUCUUUUCUAUUGAGGAGUAAUGAACGAACAGUAAAGUCACAAAUCCUAAGCAUACAUUGCAGUGAAUUUUUACAUAUGUGUACACUAUGUAACCACCACCCCAAUCAAGGUGUUUCUUUUAGAGUUGAGAAGUUCUUGGUGGGAGGUUGAGUGGAGAAGGAAAUCAUGAGUGUGUCCACGAGCUGCCGUCUUUUUCUAGAACUCUCUUUAAAGGGUGUUAAGGAGGGAGCUGAACGUCAAGUCUAUACAGUGGUGUGGAGAGCAGAAUGCUUAGGAGUGGCAGGUCAUGUUCUGGUCCUCCCCCUUACUAGCUGUGGGACUUCUGUGCCUCAGUUUCAACCACUGUAAAAUGGGAGUAGAUGAUAGCUCUUACCUCACAAGGUUAUCAUGAAGAUUACACGAGGCAGUACAUGUAAGUGCACCAAAAAAUGUUAAUUGUUAUUUUUGUUGUUAUUAAUAACGAGGAGGAGGCAGUGGUUCUUAAUGAAGGAUAUGCAUCAGAAUCACCUGGGGCACUUUCGCAAAAUACACAUUCUCAACCUGGCCAGAUCUACUGAGUCAGAAUCUAGAUUUUAAAUGCCUCCCCAGGUUCAUUCUGUUGCUCAUCCGUGGUUGAGAACCACUGGGCUGGAGGUGGUCAUGACUGGAAGCAGGAAGGCCAACAGGUAACCCCUGCGAUAGUGAGAGCCGGAGAGGAUCAGAGCUGAGCAGAUUUGAGGCAGAGUGGAGAGGUGGCCAAGAUGUGGCGACCUUGGGUGGAGGAGCGAGGAAGGAGGGGGAGGAGUCUGGGGUGACUCAGAGGCUGCUGACUGGACAAUGGAGUGAGCAGGUGGAGGAUGAGCCAGAAGUGGGAAUACAGGAAGGGGGCGUGGGGUGGGGCAGUGGGCCAGAGAUUGUUAUAAUUCCCCUUGGGAUUGUUGAGUGGAGACUCCUGGUGGGAAUAGCAAGUUAGUAUUUGGAUCUCUAGGCCUGGGCUUCUGGUGUUUUUCAGGGAGUCAUCGAUGUCAAGGAGAUAGAUAAAGCCAUGGACCUGGUCACAGUGCAAACAUAGAGGGCAGAAGAGGGCCACAUUCACUAGUAUCCACCUCUGGGAAGGCCUGCGUCCACUUCCUGUUUCCUCCCUAGCAAUAGAGAAGCGCUUGUUUCUCGUGUAAUAACCCCUUUGCUGAGGACGUUGGGGAAUAAACUCAGUCUUCUCACUUGAAGAUGACCCAUGACUAUGGGUCACUUCCUUUCCUUACAGGUCUCAAAAUUUUCCGCAUCCUCUGAUGGAGGAGCUUAAUCCUUAUUCAUCAGUAUCUUCAGACAGCACAUCUGGUUGGGGCAAUGUCUUAUCUUCCAACACCCCCUCAUCCCCCAUGCUCUCACACAUACUCAGCCUCUGGUGGAUGGCUUCUUAGACUCUGGCUUUCUUCAGGCCCUUGAUAUCAACGAGUUGCUCUUUGGCAAGAAUUUAAGCCCUUCGAGUACCUCUCCCAGAGGCGUUUGCAUUUAGAACUAUAGGUGUAAUAGAAAUAAUGGAAGAUGUUGCAUUCCUGAGGGAAGGCGAUCCUGGAAUGAAAUAUUCAUUCUCUCAUUCUAGAACAUCCCUGUCUAGUAGACCUUUCUGCGUUGAUGGAAAUGUUCUUCUGUGCUAUACAAUACGAUAGUCACUAGCCACAUGUGGCUAUUGAGUGUUUGAAAUGUGGCUAGUGUAACCGAGGAAUUGGAUUUUUCAUUUUAAUUAAUUAAAAGUUAAAUUUAAGUUGACAGAAGAAAAGCACGCACUGUUAGUUUGCAUUCACUGGAUCAAUGAACGAUAGGGACGCCAG
ensembl:lncRNA